rnacentral:rRNA from 1 species
GACGAACGCUGGCGGCGUGCUUAACACAUGCAAGUCGAGCGGUAAGGCCCUUUCGGGGGUACACGAGCGGCGAACGGGUGAGUAACACGUGGGUGACCUGCCCUCAGCUCUGGGAUAAGCCCGGGAAACUGGGUCUAAUACCGGAUAUGACUCCAUGACGCAUGUUGUGGGGUGGAAAGCCUUGUGCGGCUGAGGAUGGGCCCGCGGCCUAUCAGCUUGUUGGUGGGGUGAUGGCCUACCAAGGCGACGACGGGUAGCCGGCCUGAGAGGGCGACCGGCCACACUGGGACUGAGACACGGCCCAGACUCCUACGGGAGGCAGCAGUGGGGAAUAUUGCGCAAUGGGCGUAAGCCUGACGCAGCGACGCCGCGUGGGGAUGAAGGCCUCGGUU